rnacentral:tRNA from 1 species
GUCCCGGUAGCUCAGUUGGUAGAGCACAUGGCUGUUAACCAUGGGGUCGAAGGUUCGAGUCCUUCCCGGGACG